rnacentral:rRNA from 1 species
GAUGAACGCUGGCGGCGUGCCUAAUACAUGCAAGUCGAGCGAACAGAUGAGGAGCUUGCUCCUCUGACGUUAGCGGCGGACGGGUGAGUAACACGUGGAUAACCUACCUAUAAGACUGGGAUAACUUCGGGAAACCGGAGCUAAUACCGGAUAAUAUAUUGAACCGCAUGGUUCAAUAGUUAAAGACGGUUUUGCUGUCACUUAUAGAUGGUUCCGCGCCGCAUUAGCUAGUUGGUAAGGUAACGGCUUACCAAGGCAACGAUGCGUAGCCGACCUGAGAGGGUGAUCGGCCACACUGGAACUGAGACACGGUCCAGACUCCUACGGGAGGCAGCAGUAGGGAAUCUUCCGCAAUGGGCGAAAGCCUGACGGAGCAACGCCGCGUGAGUGAUGAAGGUGUUCGGAUCGUAAAACUCUGUUAUUAGGGAAGAACAAAUGUGUAAGUAACUAUGCACGUCUUGACGGUACCUAAUCAGAAAGCCACGGCUAACUACGUG